CCACUAAGCCAGUGGUGAACUCCACAUACGCAUCCUUUGCUGAGGAUACGGUUAACGGAGCGAAAGCGACGUUCAACCUCAAAAGAAGCAGAGGGGGCUUAGUGGUGGGGUGACUGCGUACCUUUUGUAUAAUGGGUCAGCGACUUAUAUUCUGUAGCAAGGUUAACCGAAUAGGGGAGCCGGAGGGAAACCGAGUCUUAACCGGGCGUUAAGUUGCAGGGUAUAGACCCGAAACCCGGUGAUCUAGCCAUGGGCAGGUUGAAGGUUGGGUAACACUAACUGGAGGACCGAACCGACUAAUGUUGAAAAAUUAGCGGAUGACCUGUGGCUGGGGGUGAAAGGCCAAUCAAACCGGGAGAUAGCUGGUUCUCCCCGAAAGCUAUUUAGGUAGCGCCUCGUGAAUUCAUCUCCGGGGGUAGAGCACUGUUUCGGCUAGGGGGCCAUCCCGGCUUACCAACCCGAUGCAAACUGCGAAUACCGGAGAAUGUUAUCACGGGAGACACACGGCGGGUGCUAACGUCCGUCGUGAAGAGGGAAACAACCCAGACCGCCAGCUAAGGUCCCAAAGUCAUGGUUAAGUGGGAAACGAUGUGGGAAGGCCCAGACAGCCAGGAUGUUGGCUUAGAAGCAGCCAUCAUUUAAAGAAAGCGUAAUAGCUCACUGGUCGAGUCGGCCUGCGCGGAAGAUGUAACGGGGCUAAACCAUGCACCGAAGCUGCGGCAGCGACACUAUGUGUUGUUGGGUAGGGGAGCGUUCUGUAAGCCUGUGAAGGUGGCCUGUGAGGGUUGCUGGAGGUAUCAGAAGUGCGAAUGCUGACAUAAGUAACGAUAAAGCGGGUGAAAAGCCCGCUCGCCGGAAGACCAAGGGUUCCUGUCCAACGUUAAUCGGGGCAGGGUGAGUCGACCCCUAAGGCGAGGCCGAAAGGCGUAGUCGAUGGGAAACGGGUUAAUAUUCCCGUACUUGGUGUUACUGCGAAGGGGGGACGGAGAAGGCUAUGUUGGCCGGGCGACGGUUGUCCCGGUUUAAGCGUGUAGGUGUGUGUUCCAGGUAAAUCCGGUUCACUUUAACACUGAGGCGUGAUGACGAGGCACUACGGUGCUGAAGCAACAAAUGCCCUGCUUCCAGGAAAAGCCUCUAAGCAUCAGGUAACAUCAAAUCGUACCCCAAACCGACACAGGUGGUCAGGUAGAGAAUACCAAGGCGCUUGAGAGAACUCGGGUGAAGGAACUAGGCAAAAUGGUGCCGUAACU
rnacentral:rRNA from 1 species